rnacentral:rRNA from 1 species
UACAGAGGGUGCGAGCGUUAAUCGGAAUUACUGGGCGUAAAGCGCACGUAGGUGGCGACGUAAGUCGGGUGUGAAAGCCCCGGGCUCAACCUGGGAAUUGCAUUCGAGACUGCAUUGCUGGAGUACGGAAGAGGAAGGCGGAAUUCCCGGUGUAGCGGUGAAAUGCGUAGAUAUCAGGAGGAACACCGGUGGCGAAGGCGGGUCUCUGGGCCGAAACUGACGCUGAGGAGCGAAAGCGUGGGGAGCAAACAGG